rnacentral:rRNA from 1 species
CCUACGGGUGGCAGCAGUGGGGAAUAUUCGGCAAUGGGCGCAAGCCUGACCCAGCAACGCCGCGUGAAGGAAGAAGGCUUUCGGGUUGUAAACUUCUUUUCUCAGGGACGAAGCCAGUGACGGUACCUGAGGACUAAGCCACGGCUAACUACGUGCCAGCAUCCGCGGUAAUACGUAGGUGGCAAGCGUUAUCCGGAUUUACUGGGUGUAAAGGGCGUGUAGGCGGGAAAGCAAGUCAGAUGUGAAAACCAUGGGCUCAACCUGUGGCCUGCAUUUGAAACUGUUUUUCUUGAGUACUGGAGAGGCAGACGGAAUUCCUAGUGUAGCGGUGAAAUGCGUAGAUAUUAGGAGGAACACCAGUGGCGAAGGCGGUCUGCUGGACAGCAACUGACGCUGAGGCGCGAAAGCGUGGGGAGCAAACAGGAUUAGAUACCCCGGUAGUC